rnacentral:lncRNA from 1 species
GUUUAAUCCCUGGUGUCAAAAGAGAAAAUUAUUGUGAACUCCUGUGUUGGGCACGUUAAGGUACAGGCUUUAGUAAAGCAGUAAGAAGUGUCUUCUUGGUGCCUCUAUUAUAAUGUCAUUGGUGAAAGGAUUGAUGUAUAUCAGUCAUGUUGAAAGAAAACUUGAAACAACAGAAGGAGUAAAAAUGCAGCACAGAAGAGACAGUAAACUGGUAGCAAUACACGGAAGAUCCAAUGUACAUGUGUAACUUAGGGGUUCAAAACAAACAGCCUAAGUUAUGGGCAAAGCUGGCUUCUUAUGUUCUUGAGACAAGGGACUGGGGGCAUUGUUAGCCAUUUUAAAAACCUUUAAUUUCACUAUUAAAGGCACAUUUUUCAAAUGCAUCAUUUUCAUUUAAGAAGCUACUAGUUUCACCAAUAAAACUUUCUGAUAGUUGUUAUGUACAUUACAGCAUUGUAGGGUGGUCAAGGUAUAACUGUACCUUGAAUAGUUUCCACUGGGAUAUAGCUUCUUUGACCUAAGUAAUGACUUUAGAUGAAUAAUGCAUGUAUGUCAUACUGUAUAUGCUGGAAUAUUUAAAUGUUUAAAUAGAUAACAGCUAUAUUGGGGACCAUAAAUAGUUAAGUUCCCACGAUUGGACGAAGACAUCAGGAAUUAUUUUUCCCAAUGGAAAUAGACUGUAACAGUGGCUUAUACUAUUAAGCCUUUAUUUAAGCUGUUCAGGGUUCCGUAUAGUAACUCCAGAGGUCAGUGGGCCCUGGGCCUUUGUGUUCUUGUAUGGGCCACAGUCUUUACCAUGUGGCUUCUGUCUUCAUCAUCAAAAAAUGGCCACUACAGUGCUUAUGUUCCAGAUAAGAAGGAAGAAG